AUCUAACGAAGAUAAGUGCACAACAUGCACGGAUACUGAAAUUAAUUCUUCUUGCACGACUAUUAAUAGCUGUCUUAUAAGCACGGAUCACAAAAUACAGAUGUGAGACACAGUGAUCGGGGCAAUACAGAUCGAUACAGAUCGUACAGAUACUGACGACCCUGAUGUCUGGAAGUACGUGAAAGCAAAUAAUUUCACUUAUCCAUGAAGUCCAUGAAAGAACCAGAUAAUCCAAAUAAUGGACGAGGAGCUCGCUCGUCAGAAGCAAAGAAAGAGAGCGUGACGGUGAAAAAUAUUGUGUCUGAAGGGCUUGUGGAUGUUAUAUAACGUCUUGCAGGUGCACAUAACCUCUGAAUGUGGCAACAACAGCAACAACAAGGAUCGAAAAACAGAUCGACUACGGCAUAUAAUUUGCAUACAUUUUUAAUUGCACAUUAGUCAUUGUGUAUAUUUAUUAUAAAGUAUCAGUAUCCUAGGGCAUGGUAGAAAUACUGCGCCGGCAUUGUGUAAUCCAUCCAUAUCCGCUCGUGACCCAGUGGACCGAUCUUCACCAAAAUUGGGGAGCAGUGGAGGUUCAAGUGGUUUUGAAGAUUGCAUUGCAUUUCAUACAUGGUGGCAAUUGGCAGAUGGAGGAAGAUAUUUUGAAGGCUGUGUCAAAAGACUUCUUAGUGCAACCAAAUUUGAGAUAUGGCUCCUGUGCCAGACCUUUCUGAAGAUAUCAUGUAAACCUAGAAUUUGUAUCUGGUUCUACAAGUGUCACUUAAAUGAUUCUGUAAAGCAUGGAAAAAAAUCGAGGCUAUGUGUUUUAUUGCUUAGCUUCUAAUUGGUACAGUAACAUAUACAAGAGAAAAGCAUUUGCAUUAACUCCAACACAAUAACUGGAAAAUCAACAGGUAGAUAAUAUAACAGGGGAAAUAAUAUCAGAUCACACAAUAACUGACACAAAAGUCAUAUUUCUCAGGAAUGUUUUGCCCAAGGAAAAUGCAUCAUAAUGCUUGUCCAUAGGCACACAAUAAGAUUCAAUCCUAAAAAUGAACACUCUGCCCAAGGGCAAUAAAGAUGAUGAUGAUGAUGAUUAUAAUAAUAAUAAAGGUAAUACAAAAGGGACUGAACUUUAAAACAUGUUAGACCCUAAAACUUAUAUAUUCAAAAGGAGUGGAAAAAUGUAUAUAUAAACCAAUCAACAUUUAGAUUUGUUCUCUUUUAAAAUCAUUAGAUCCACCAAACCAACUUUGAGUUAUUGUCACAAACUCCUCAAGGCUACACAAGUUUGGUCUAUUAACAAGCAAGACGACGAGUAACAUGCAUUGUAUAUGGUGAGUCUCCUGUCAUAAAAAUGUGAUCCUCCAGGAGCCUUGUUGUACAGCCAAGGACUACACAGAACAUAGUAUUGUACAGAUUUGUCAGUAACACUGAUAUAAAAAUCUAAACAUAUAUCAAUCAUUAUACAUAACAUUUAUCACGUUUUAAACUCAUCGGAAUCCUCAGGUCUUUAUUCCAAAAAUAACUCAUUUAUUUACCUGUUCUUCUUGACUGACAUUAAAGAUCAGCAUUUUGCAGACUCAAAAUGAAUAUAUUAAAUUUAAAUUAAUGAUCUCACACUGUAAAAUCAUAAGCUUUGAAGAAGUUCAUUCAUAGUGUUGUAACAAGGGUGGCAAACUGCUGGAAUCUUGGUUACACUGCAGAUUAAGGCAAAUGUUCAUACAUUUGAAAUGAAUUAUCACGAAAUAAUCGUAUGCAAUAAACAGACUGUUAUGAUAAAAGGUUAUCAACUAUCAGAAUAAAUACUUCCUGUUCCAUCUACAAUAUAAAAAUAUAUCUAAGAAAAAUACCUUUCGUUUAACAGGACUCUUAAAAAAUUAAUUUCAUUCAUAAAAAACUGGAAGUAUGCCAUUAUAGUGGCACAUAAAAAUAUAAGACAGCUUGAACACAAGGUGCCAUGACAACAUAUGUAUUCAGAUUUUGAACUAAGGGUACAAGUUAUUUUCAGUAUAAUACAUAAUAUAUAGGAAGCCCACUAUCUAAUACAUGGAAUUUUGACAAAUAUAUUCCAUAUUUCUUACAAAUAUUGGAGCCUUUCACUUCUGAAUGCCCUCUGAGAUUUUUCACACUAUAAUCUCUCCACAACAUAACAAAUAUAGUUUUUCAUAAACAUAAACAGCAAUGAAUAUUUUGAAACAAUUUAUUUUACAUGAAUUAGAGGUGUCCUUAGUGAUGGUAAUAUAUGUAAACAAAGUUGAGCUGUGGCAGUCGGUAGAGAGGUAUAAAUGGUGUGCAGCAACAGUUCUUCACACAGUGGCUGUACACUUCAGUGCAUCUACUGCCUCUGAGUGCUUGAACAAUGGGUUCAAAUUCCACCCAGGGCAUGGAUUAUGUCCACAUUUUUUAUGUUUGCAUUGUCCUGUGUAGGCAGAGACUUUGCAAUGGACCAAUCCACAUCCAAGGAGUCCUAUCAAAUAUCUAUAAUGGAUUCAAAGUUUCAAAAGAUAAUUCUGAAUUUGAAUAGAUGGGAAUACCUAAUCUGCAAAGGCUAGGUACAAAGAAUUACAAUCCUUUAUCCAACAAUUUAAGUAGCAGUAAAUUUAGUAUAUUCAUUAUGGGUUAUAUUACUAUGCUACUUAAGACUAUGUAGACCAUAGAGCAUCAAUUCAUGAGAUGACUGAUGAACUGGGAAAGAUAUGGAAGGUAGCAGUCACUGAAGUACUAUCCUGGCAUUUGACAGGAGGGAGUGGGAAAAACCAUUAAAAAAAUCCCACUCGGUACAGCCAAUGUUUUGGUCAAGAUCUGCCAACUGCUGAGAUCCAUACUUAACUCAUAUUGGUUAGUCUACAGUCACAAGCAAGAUAUUUGAAAGUAACUAAAAUAAAAUAGCAUAAUUUUUAUUUUUGUAGUUUAUUCUAUGCAAAAAUGACUGACAUAUUGCAGUUUCUAUGGUAGACAGUACAGUGAUUGUAGCAAUUUGAAAUUUAAAUCACUUCCUUGUUUCUUUCAGUUCUGGAAAAUGACUACAGAUGUAAGAGCUGUUUUCAAAAGACUACUUUUCAAUGAAAGUACUGAAUGUACUGAAUUAACCUUCGUAUGACUGAAAAUCUCAUUAUAAAUUUAGUUCCUGUAAUAUUAACAAUUUUUGUUCUUUAACUCCUCUAAGAGCUGUCUUCCUGAGAAAGGUGACUCGAAGUUACUCUUUUGCCAAAAUAUCAAACCAUAAAAGAGACAAGGGGGUAACGUUUCAUACAAUUUCAGUCUUUUGGGAACAUAUUACCACAAGAAAAAACAUCUCUAAAUACUUAUUUAAUAAAAAGAUGGGUUGACUUUGGCAAUUAAGAGGGGGAAAAAGUUCAAAAUUACUGUUGCAGAUCUCUAUCUUGGUCAUGAGCUUGCUUACUGAACUGCCACAACUCAUAAAUAUAAGUGAGAAGAAACAAGAAAUGCAGGUUCAGAAUCAUGAAUCAUUCUUCUACAUGUAAGAAGCAAAACAUUUGCUUUAAAAUAACAACAUCCAAGAUUCCAAGAGAGAGAGAGAGAGAGAGAAGAAACUGCCCAAAGGCCUAUAUUAUCAACAUCUUCAUCAUAUAAGGUACAUGUUAUACCACUUGAGACUUUGGAAGGGACAGAAAGAGAAAAGGAAAAGGCACAAGUGAACUAAUGUACAGUAAGAGCAUGUCAGAACAAAUGCGAUGAUUAUUUUGGGAACUGUCUAUUGUCCUAAAGUUUCUGCGAACACAACAGCUUAGAAACUGGAUCUAUUUCCAUUAUCAGGUAUAAGGGAGGGAAGUUCCUAUUCAGUUAGGCCUGCUGAAAGAAGCGAUGUGCUCAGGACUUAGCUGUUUCUAAUAGGCCUAACUGAGUACAAAUAUUUCUCCCCUCGAUAACAAAAACAGGAUUUUCAAAAUGUUGUGUUUGAAAAAGCUCAAGAUCAUAGUGUGUCCAAAAUAAUAAUAAUAUUUAUUGUAACAUACUAAAGUCAGAAACCUUUAGAGCACAUUAAGGACAUAUCCAUACUAACACACAGAAAACAGAAGCUACAUAGAUAUAGCACAAAGAAUAACUUCUUUAUUAGACAUUUUUCAUGAACAGUACAAAAUGAGUGGAAGAAAUAAGAGCAGCAUAACCUGUACUUCAACCAGAGUUUCGAGUUUUUAAAAAUGUGCUAAAUGUCUAAUAUACUGUGUACCAUCUUCUAUCACAUUUCUGUACAUGGCAAGUAAAAAGUGUAAUGUUUGUAUAUUUACUUUUAAUGUCUCUAGUACUUCUUAGAGGAAGGGAAAUGAGAGAAGCUUUGAGAUGGAAUUCCUAAGUUCAUGGAUACUGGUUGCUGUUGGAACAAACAGACUUCACAUAAUCUCUUGUCACACAUUUAAACACUGCCAAUCAACUUUCCUCUAAGAGCCAGAAACUUUACUCAAAAGAAUUAAUUUAUAUGCUAAGAAAAUGAGAUUGGACCGAGACGAUGGAAAUUAAAAGUGAGGUAUAUGAGUUAUAAAAUAUUUGUGGGUGGAAUCUAAAACAUCUGUGAAAGAGUACAAAUUAUGAAGUUCCUCUGUAUGAAUUUUUUUCCAACCUCCUGCUACUUUCUCCCCCCUAGGCUGAUAUUCUCCUCUCUUCAUAAACAAGCCUAUGAUUUCAGUGCCCUACUGUUCUUAUGUUUAUCCCAGCCACCAUGCUCUAGCCUACUGACUACUUCAGAUUUUGAAAAACGGAUGUCUACAAGACAACAGAAGUCAUUCAGAAGUCAUAUUUUGUAUUUUUUAGCUAAGUUACCUUUUGUAAGGAAAGAAAGUAGGUUUAUAAGAUCACCAUGCUCUGUGCUUGUGUGCCUUUUUCUCACAUUUGUAAGUUCUGAAGCAGUUAACCAAUUAUCACAGAAUUUUGUAUGACUGUUAUAACAUUAUACUGUUUAGUAUCCUACAUUCAGUAACAACAGCAUGGGAAGUGCAUUAAAUCUGUGAGAUGGGACUGACACUAAGUCCAGUGACAUGUAAGAGCUAACAAAAAUGUGCACCUUUGCUAACAGUCUUUUUGUUGACAGUAAGGUAACAAGAUGGCAAACAUUUUCUUUAGCUUUCAGUUUGAUGGCACUAACUAAUGAAUAAUGAAAGCUAGGAACUCAAAUUUGGUACAGAGAAAGAUCAUAAACAUGCCUAAAGGUAAAAUCGUAAUGUCAUCUGUGGGCAUAAUUGAUUAAGCACGGCAUCAUUAUGACAUAUGGAGGAGUGUAGAUGAGGUGACCGUUAACUUCACGCCCCUACUACUUUACACCCAGGGAAACAGCCUCAGAACUGGUCUGGAUGUAAUUAAGAAAAGUCUCUUGCCUCUGCCAAGAAUUGAAUCCUGAUUCCUCAUUUGUUCUGUCCAUAGCCUUGUCACUAUACUGACUUUACUAUCCCAGAUCCACAUAAACAUACCUACACAUUACUUAUAAAAUACUGUCUGUAAGUAAAGAAUUAUAAACGUAGCGAUAAUGUGAAAAUUUGAGGUUAUAUUCAGUAAAUUUAGCAUCUGAACUUCACUAAUAUGUUCUUCAAAAAAUAAAAUAAGAAUGAUGAUGAUGAUAAUGAUAAUAUAUCUCUAGGACUAGAAAUCUACAGAACAGGAGAGGCUUUAUCAGGUCUGCUGGGAAUGCCUUCUUUAAAGAUUGAAGCUGUUAUUCUGAAACCCAGGGGUUCUCAAAUUCUGUGAUAUGGCAAACCCCUAAAGCAAUACAUAUACAUUUACAUUCCAUCAUCCAGUGUCUGUUGGUCAAUGAAACUGAAACUCUAUUGAUUGUUGCAGGUUCCUAUCAAGCUCUAUGGCAAUGGUUCACAACCUUUGUGAGACUGCGGCCCAGUAAUUUCUUUUUUUAUAAGAAGUGGUCGAGAAACACUGCUCUAGAGUAAUAACAGGAACCUAAAUAACUUUACAGCACCUCUCUAUCUAGAGAGAGGGAUGUGAUGGACAGAAUGUGGACUCAAGAAAGAGGACAUUAAACAGAGAACUCUGACAGAAAAGUCAGCUUCUUCCAUAUGAGAAGGAAAAAUGUAUGUAUGGUGCUCACAGGACUUCUUUGUUAAGUUAUAUUAUAUCAGUGCUUUUGUUUUCGAAUGGAUAUCACUUUUAUCUUCAGUCUACUAUGAUGAUUUAAUCUUUGCCAUAGGAAAGUUGUAUGCAUUUUACCAAACACAUUUUCUGAUGGUCAUAUUUUGUAUGAAAUUGCAUCAUAUGACAAGAGUAGAAAUGUUAUAUUACAAGUAAAUAUUACUGAAUAACUUUGCUUCUCUAAAUAACAACAGAAUUAAUAUACGUAAUGAACACAGAAACAAUUCAUGGCAUGAUUCAUUACAUAAAAGUUGAAAUGUAGUCUAGAGUUCUUCUCUUCUUUGAUAAAUUUUGAUUCUGUAAAUUUAUUGCAUGAGUUGCACUAACAUUAACAGACAACAGUGAAAAUAUAGUUCAUAUGGUAAAGGUUAAAAAACUUAAAUAUCCUCUAUUUUAUAAUACAAUAAUGAUGGAACAAGUUAGGUAUACACAAAAAUAAACAAUAUAUUAUUUUAUAAUAUUGUUUUUAAAAUUUAUGGCAACUGAUAUUUACAUUAUAAUUGUGAUGCUUUGCUAACAAAACAUGUUUAAAGUGACUACUGCAAUACAUGGUUUGCGUUUUGCCCGUUACCCUUCAUUCCCUGAAACUGAGAGAUAACAAUUAGAAUGAUGCUUUUACCAUCAUAUAUACAGUCCCUUUACUCCUUCAUUUGUAAACAGCAAUUUUAUUCGUUGAAAAUCAGAAGUACAUAUCAAUACAUAUUUUAAAUUACAUGAUAAGUUUUUGUUAAGUUUUUUAUGUACUAAAUAAUGUGAUGUCAGAGCAACAGUAAUAUGCAGUAUUCCAAAUAAAUUUUCAGCCUCUUCAGUAAUGUUACAGGAACAAAAGUACUGACCAUUACACAGGUAUUCAUAUGGAAGGAAAACUACUUCACAGGUACUCAGCAAAUGAACAAUUUUCUAAUAAAACCACUGUACUUACUAUGAUUUCAUAAUCAGUUCUUCAAGCAAAGUCACUAACAUCUGAAUAAAUUCUGCAACUACACAAACUGUAAAAUAUCUGUUGGAGUUUAUUUAUACUUCUUUCCUGAUUGCAUCUGGAACAUUUUAAUGCCCUUCUAAGGAACUAACUGAAGAAGUAGUUAAGUGUACUUUGAACAAGACAAUACAAUUGCAAGCAUCAUAAAGACAUUCAUUCAUGCAGAAUCUUGAAUGGAUAAGCAGAAGAUGGUGGCCAUCAUGUUCCUUAGAUUUGAAUAUAUGUAAUUUUUAUUUCUGGGGAAAUUUAAAACAGAAAGUUCAUUAAAACAAUGCACACAUUUGGAGGCCUUAGAAUGGAAGUAAUGAAAAAUUAAGUUUAGUUGUCACGUCAUUUGCGGGGGGAAGGACUAUACCACAGUUUGUUUCAUCAGUGUCAAAGAAGUUUUCAAAUGUUGGAGAGUACAAUUUUCCAAAGCUGUUCCAAAAGCAUAUGUAAAAUCUGUAACAAAAUGUCAGAUAUGAGAUUCUCACAGUAGUGACUAUGAACAGUACCAUCUCUUAUGAUACAACAACAUGUAGUCCAGUAGAUGUUCACCACUGUUUCAGAGGAACAUACUGCCUCCAUCUUCAGAGUUAGAGAGUAAAGCUUUGUUUGGUGUACUUUUAGACUUUGAAGAUCUAGGCAGAUGUUCCUCUGGAAUGUCAGUGAACUACUGGACUACACAAUAUCACAUCCAUGAAGAUAGUAUUCCUCACUGCAACAAAAUUUUCAUUCAGAAAUAAAUCUGAACCUCACACUUGUAGUGGAAUACUUUUAUCUUUUCACAGGAUCACCUAUGCAAUGGUCAUUACUUUCCAUAUCCUGAAUUACCAGCAAUGUGUAUCUAUGUAACAACUGCAAUCUUUAACUCAGUAUGCAGUACCAUGACAAGAAACAUGUUUUAAAACUGCAACUGAGUUUUAUCUUUCCUCAAUAACAGAAAACUCUUAAUACAGUGUAUAAUAAAAAAAUAAACACAUUAUCUAUUUACUUCAGUGUGAAUCCACCACAACAAAACUGUUUAUUAUUUCAAUUAAAUUUGUUCUUUAUUUGUGUCAUUCAGUAGUUUUGUGGAUAAGUUUGAUUCUUCCACAUUUCUUAAGAGAAAUUUAAUUUUCCUAUUUCUCUGUGCUAUACUUUGUGACUAUUUUUUGAGCAAAAUUAAGUCAGAUGUUUGCAUUUACAAUUAAGCACCGCAUAGACAAAACACCAAGCAAUGUACAUAGUUUUGGCAUGAAAAAAUAAAAUGAUAUUAUAAGAACAAUGGCUGUUGAUGGAACAUACACAUUUAAAAAUGUAUUUACAAAUAUACUAUAAAAGAAACAUAAUGAGCAUUGAACUCAAACUAUGUAAUCUUUCUUGUGUAACUGCAAAAUCAGGGCCUCUGAAAUUGAAGCUGAUGUUUCCAAUAACACUACCUUAAAUACACAGUUUCAGUGACCUCUGACUUCUUGAGUAUU